rnacentral:rRNA from 2 species
CUUGCUGGAUGCUGACGAGCGGCGGACGGGUGAGUAAUGCAUAGGAAUCUGCCCGAUAGUGGGGGAUAACCUGGGGAAACCCAGGCUAAUACCGCAUACGUCCUACGGGAGAAAGGGGGCUCCGGCUCCCGCUAUGGGAUGAGCCUAUGUCGGAUUAGCUAGUUGGUGAGGUAACGGCUCACCAAGGCCACGAUCCGUAGCUGGUCUGAGAGGAUGAUCAGCCACAUCGGGACUGAGACACGGCCCGAACUCCUACGGGAGGCAGCAGUGGGGAAUAUUGGACAAUGGGGGAAACCCUGAUCCAGCCAUGCCGCGUGUGUGAAGAAGGCCCUCGGGUUGUAAAGCACUUUCAGCGAGGAAGAACGCCUGGUGGUUAAUACCCGUCAGGAAAGACAUCACUCACAGAAGAAGCACCGGCUAACUCCGUGCCAGCAGCCGCGGUAAUACGGAGGGUGCAAGCGUUAAUCGGAAUUACUGGGCGUAAAGCGCGCGUAGGUGGCUUGAUAAGCCGGUUGUGAAAGCCCCGGGCUCAACCUGGGAACGGCAUCCGGAACUGUCAAGCUAGAGUGCAGGAGAGGAAGGUAGAAUUCCCGGUGUAGCGGUGAAAUGCGUAGAGAUCGGGAGGAAUACCAGUGGCGAAAGCGGCCUUCUGGACUGACACUGACACUGAGGUGCGAAAGCGUGGGUAGCAAACAGGAUUAGAUACCCUGGUAGUCCACGCCGUAAACGAUGUCGACCAGCCGUUGGGUGCCUAGCGCACUUUGUGGCGAAGUUAACGCGAUAAGUCGACCGCCUGGGGAGUA